rnacentral:lncRNA from 1 species
AUACAUCUCAAAGACACAAAUCGAAUACACUUACAAUUACAUUGCUCUUGCUCUAAGACUCUUUCCAUGCUACUGUGACAUUGAUCCAUCUGUCCAAAUAAAACAUCAAUAACAUCAUAAGAUAAAGAAUGAUACAACAUAAGAUAAAGAGUGACACACCAAAAAAAAGUUACUAAAAUUCAGUAGACUUUAGAUUUUAGACUUUUUAAUAAUAGAAGUAGACUAGCUAUGACCCAAUUAUAACUACCAAACUUUUGCAUUACAAAGAACCCAUCCUUAAA